GCCUGGAUAGCUCAGUGGUUGAGCAUCUGCCUUUUGCUCAGAGCAUGAUCCCAGGAUCCUGGGAUCAAGUCCCACAUCAGGCU
rnacentral:tRNA from 1 species